UGUUGCCACGACCUGCCUGCCGUCUGCUGUACAUGGUGGGAUGUCGCUCCAGGACCCUUUGUUUCAGACAUCUACGACCCCAGGAUGAACCUCCAGCCUCUCUCCCAGGGCAGCUGCAGGUUUCCUUACUGGUCUCCCCACCUCUGCUGCCAUCUCCCUCCAAGCUGUGCCCCGUGAAGCAGCCAAGUGAUAGUCGGAAGACAAAAAACAGACCACAACCCUGGGACUUCCCUGGUGGUGCAGUGGUUAAGAACCCACCUGCCAGUUCAGGGGACAUGAGUUCGAGCCCUGGUCCGGGAAGAUCCCACAUGCCACGGAGCAACUAAGCCGGUGUGCCACAACUUCUGAGCCUGCACUCUAGAGCCCGUGAGCCACAACUACUGAGCCCGCAUGCCGCAACUACUGAAGCCCACGUGCCGAGAGCCCGUGCUCCGCAACAAGAGAAGCCACCGCAGUGAGAAGCCCACGCACCUCAAUGAAGAGUAGCCCCCGCUCACCGCAACUAGAGAAAGCCCGCGUGCAGCAACGAAGA